rnacentral:lncRNA from 1 species
CGAGCGGUGUCUGAGGUUCGGCUUGCCCCUGGCCGUCCUCCUUUCUUUCCCCAAGGCACACGCCAAGGGCGCUAGCCCUGGCAUGGAGGACGCGGGGCUCAGAGGCUGGCCAGCCUGAGUGUGAGCUCAUGCCCCCGGGACCACCAAUUCUCGCCGUUCCUGCCCCACUCCCACCCCAGGGCCCGCGUCGCAGGCCGGCUGCACCAACCCCAUUGAUUGGGAGGGGGCUCUGAGGCCAUCAGGCUCCGGGCUGCCCUGGGCGCUGCCCCCCUGGCGCCAGGGAAACAAAAGGUGUGGAGGCAAGUGCCCUGUAAUUCUGCAGCUCAUCUCCUCUGCCGUGGCCUGAUUCUAUGGGUCGGACCUCUACCUGCUUCCUCCCACAGGGCUGGAAGCCCAGACAUGGUCUACCCCACUUCCCUUGCCAGAUCCUCUGGCCUCUCUUCCCAGCCCAGGACCUGAAUUGCCUAGAUCGCAGCUCCCAGAAGGAGAGAGCUGCAGAGACGUCAGAUGGAGGCCAUAGAGUGAGAUGCUGAAUGUAAGAGGAGAACUUGGUAGCUGACACAAAGCUCCAUCCAGGAUCCAGUCCCUUCUCCACAAGAUUCAGCAUCAGUCAGCAGUGAUCCCAUGACCACUGGGAACCAAACGCUGUCCUAGGCCUUCCUUGUGCUCCCUCUCCAUCUCCAGCCAAAGUGGGUCGAGCUGAGGGACAGGGAGGUGAUCUGGAAAGAGCAAGUGCAACUCUCUGCUCUGCCGUGUAUCAGCUGUCUGUUUAAUCACAUCCUCAGAACCUCAACUUCUUCACCUAUAAAAUGUAAAUAAAUAGAACAGACCUUGAGAGACCCAAGUGAAGCUUCAAGGAGAGAGGGCAGCGCAUCUACAAAAUCAGCCCAGGGCCUGCCCGCUGAGCACUUCCUGUCGGCUUGCUUCUCUUCCACUUUCUCUGAGCCUCAUUCCUCUGGGACCCCAUGACCCCUGUCGUGGCUCUGCCCUCAAAAACCCCUCUCAUCUCUCGGGGAAUCAGAGUGGAGUCAGAAGAAAGAGGCUUAAUUGAGAAGGUUUUUCUGGUUUCUCAAAAGACCACGAUUCUGGGGAAGAGAGGCUCAGGAUGGGUAUGAGAGAGGAAGCCCUCAGGCAUAUAGAAUAUGGCCGCAGAGGGACAGGAGUGUUACCUUGGGGGGGCGGAGUCCUGCUUUCCUGGAGGAGAGUGGGCGAGUGGGCACUACUCCAGCUCCAGAGCAUGGAUCGGAUAGGCCGGGCGGGGGCUGGGCCAGGCGUGGCUCUUCUGCCAGCCUGCCCUCAUGGUCCAGCCCAGAACUUGCACAACAGCCUGGCUUGCUGGCUGCCUGUUUGGCUGGCAGUCCCCUGGGAACCUUAGGAAGUCCCCCUUGUCCUCCCCUUGACCUUUGACCCCUUAGGCCUGCUACAGGCCAGAAUUCCAGGCAGUUGUCCUCUCUUUUACCUUCUGUUCCUGGCCAUUUCCCUUUAAGCCUGGGACUAGGAGACACCCCAAACCCCUACCUUAUAGCUCAUCCUUUCACAUGCUCUCAGGUACAGACCCACUGGGGCCUCCCCUGGGACAGCUCCCUAUGUGAGCCAGUGGGGACCCUCGGCCACAAGCCAGCAGGACCCUUGGAGUCUAGCUAUCUGGAGGGCCCAAGCCUUUCAGGAGAGCCCCCACCACCACCAAGUGCUCCUGACACCAGACAUCCGCCCAGGUGCCCUGCCCAACUCCAUCCCUGUCCCAAAGCCCAGCGGGUGAAGCCAGGAACAGCAGACAGAACCUCCCCAUCUCCCUCCAUCCUCUGAGCAGUUGAAGUCCGAAGAACCCUUGAUACUGUUCUACAUUAAACCGUGCUGCGCCUCACCGCCCUCAGUUUCACAAUCAAAUAAUUCCCUUUGGUUUUCUAGCGGAAUUUUUGCUUUUAUUUUUUAGGGUUUCUCGGCGUUUUUUUUUAACGCAAUCAGUCUAAAUUUGUCAUCGCACAUCCCCCAUUUCCGCCCCUAAGGGCCUCCUUUUCAUCCCCUGGAAUCUGGAAACCAUAUGUGUGGGCAGAAACCCCCCAGCAUCCCCCACGGCACCCUGGCCCAGCCCGGCCUCCACAGGGCCAGCCUGUUAGCAGGGGAAGAGUCUACACUCCAGGCUGGGGCUGGAAAGGGAGUUUCUCUUUGGACCUUCCCAGCUCAAGCCAUGGAGAGGCCGUGUGGUCUAGUGGUUAGGGCUGGAACACAUAGGUUUUGUCCCCAGCAAUCUCUUUGACUAACUCAAGAAGCCUGGGAAAGUCCCCUUGGUACCCAAAGGACUCAGUUUCCCCACCGGCUGAGGGGCUCAAAGCUUCACCAGCUACCUCAUCUUCUACCUGCCUCGGUAAAAAGAGUUUUUGAUCCAUAAUUAUUUGCUCUGUUACCUACUAGUUGUGUGACCUUGACAAACCGCUUAAUCUUUCUGAACCUCAAUUUCCUUAUCUAUAAAUUAGAAACUAUUAUUGUACCUCCCUCCUGGCUGCUGUUAGGGUUAAACAGCACCAGGCAUGCUAUACAAGCUCAAUAAACAGUAGAUGUUAUUGUUAAUAAUAAGUAGAAAUACAUGAUGAGGGGGAGUGUGUUAGUGGGCCGUGCU